rnacentral:rRNA from 1 species
GUUAAGCGACUAAGCGUACACGGUGGAUGCCCUGGCAGUCAGAGGCGAUGAAGGACGUGCUAAUCUGCGAUAAGCGUCGGUAAGGUGAUAUGAACCGUUAUAACCGGCGAUUUCCGAAUGGGGAAACCCAGUGUGUUUCGACACACUAUCAUUAACUGAAUCCAUAGGUUAAUGAGGCGAACCGGGGGAACUGAAACAUCUAAGUACCCCGAGGAAAAGAAAUCAACCGAGAUUCCCCCAGUAGCGGCGAGCGAACGGGGAGCAGCCCAGAGCCUGAAUCAGUAUGUGUGUUAGUGGAAGCGUCUGGAAAGGCGCGCGAUACAGGGUGACAGCCCCGUACACAAAAAUGCACAUGCUGUGAGCUCGAUGAGUAGGGCGGGACACGUGGUAUCCUGUCUGAAUAUGGGGGGACCAUCCUCCAAGGCUAAAUACUCCUGACUGACCGAUAGUGAACCAGUACCGUGAGGGAAAGGCGAAAAGAACCCCGGCGAGGGGAGUGAAAAAGAACCUGAAACCGUGUACGUACAAGCAGUGGGAGCACAGAGCAAUCUGUGUGACUGCGUACCUUUUGUAUAAUGGGUCAGCGACUUAUAUUCUGUAGCAAGGUUAACCGAAUAGGGGAGCCGAAGGGAAACCGAGUCUUAACUGGGCGUUAAGUUGCAGGGUAUAGACCCGAAACCCGGUGAUCUAGCCAUGGGCAGGUUGAAGGUUGGGUAACACUAACUGGAGGACCGAACCGACUAAUGUUGAAAAAUUAGCGGAUGACUUGUGGCUGGGGGUGAAAGGCCAAUCAAACCGGGAGAUAGCUGGUUCUCCCCGAAAGCUAUUUAGGUAGCGCCUCGUGAAUUCAUCUCCGGGGGUAGAGCACUGUUUCGGCAAGGGGGUCAUCCCGACUUACCAACCCGAUGCAAACUGCGAAUACCGGAGAAUGUUAUCACGGGAGACACACGGCGGGUGCUAACGUCCGUCGUGAAGAGGGAAACAACCCAGACCGCCAGCUAAGGUCCCAAAGUCAUGGUUAAGUGGGAAACGAUGUGGGAAGGCCCAGACAGCCAGGAUGUUGGCUUAGAAGCAGCCAUCAUUUAAAGAAAGCGUAAUAGCUCACUGGUCGAGUCGGCCUGCGCGGAAGAUGUAACGGGGCUAAACCAUGCACCGAAGCUGCGGCAGCGACGCUGAUGCGUUGUUGGGUAGGGGAGCGUUCUGUAAGCCUGCGAAGGUGUGCUGUGAGGCAUGCUGGAGGUAUCAGAAGUGCGAAUGCUGACAUAAGUAACGAUAAAGCGGGUGAAAAGCCCGCUCGCCGGAAGACCAAGGGUUCCUGUCCAACGUUAAUCGGGGCAGGGUGAGUCGACCCCUAAGGCGAGGCCGAAAGGCGUAGUCGAUGGGAAACAGGUUAAUAUUCCUGUACUUGGUGUUACUGCGAAGGGGGGACGGAGAAGGCUAUGUUGGCCGGGCGACGGUUGUCCCGGUUUAAGCGUGUAGGCUGGUUUUCCAGGCAAAUCCGGAAAAUCAAGGCUGAGGCGUGAUGACGAGGCACUACGGUGCUGAAGCAACAAAUGCCCUGCUUCCAGGAAAAGCCUCUAAGCAUCAGGUAACAUCAAAUCGUACCCCAAACCGACACAGGUGGUCAGGUAGAGAAUACCAAGGCGCUUGAGAGAACUCGGGUGAAGGAACUAGGCAAAAUGGUGCCGUAACUUCGGGAGAAGGCACGCUGAUAUGUAGGUGAAGUCCCUCGCGGAUGGAGCUGAAAUCAGUCGAAGAUACCAGCUGGCUGCAACUGUUUAUUAAAAACACAGCACUGUGCAAACACGAAAGUGGACGUAUACGGUGUGACGCCUGCCCGGUGCCGGAAGGUUAAUUGAUGGGGUUAGCGCAAGCGAAGCUCUUGAUCGAAGCCCCGGUAAACGGCGGCCGUAACUAUAACGGUCCUAAGGUAGCGAAAUUCCUUGUCGGGUAAGUUCCGACCUGCACGAAUGGCGUAAUGAUGGCCAGGCUGUCUCCACCCGAGACUCAGUGAAAUUGAACUCGCUGUGAAGAUGCAGUGUACCCGCGGCAAGACGGAAAGACCCCGUGAACCUUUACUAUAGCUUGACACUGAACAUUGAGCCUUGAUGUGUAGGAUAGGUGGGAGGCUUUGAAGUGUGGACGCCAGUCUGCAUGGAGCCGACCUUGAAAUACCACCCUUUAAUGUUUGAUGUUCUAACGUUGACCCGUAAUCCGGGUUGCGGACAGUGUCUGGUGGGUAGUUUGACUGGGGCGGUCUCCUCCUAAAGAGUAACGGAGGAGCACGAAGGUUGGCUAAUCCUGGUCGGACAUCAGGAGGUUAGUGCAAUGGCAUAAGCCAGCUUGACUGCGAGCGUGACGGCGCGAGCAGGUGCGAAAGCAGGUCAUAGUGAUCCGGUGGUUCUGAAUGGAAGGGCCAUCGCUCAACGGAUAAAAGGUACUCCGGGGAUAACAGGCUGAUACCGCCCAAGAGUUCAUAUCGACGGCGGUGUUUGGCACCUCGAUGUCGGCUCAUCACAUCCUGGGGCUGAAGUAGGUCCCAAGGGUAUGGCUGUUCGCCAUUUAAAGUGGUACGCGAGCUGGGUUUAGAACGUCGUGAGACAGUUCGGUCCCUAUCUGCCGUGGGCGCUGGAGAACUGAGGGGGGCUGCUCCUAGUACGAGAGGACCGGAGUGGACGCAUCACUGGUGUUCGGGUUGUCAUGCCAAUGGCACUGCCCGGUAGCUAAAUGCGGAAGAGAUAAGUGCUGAAAGCAUCUAAGCACGAAACUUGCC